GAUUAGAGUUUGAUCCUGGCUCAGGAUAAACGCUGGCGGCGUGCCUAACACAUGCAAGUCGAACGUCCUCUUGCUUUUCGGAGCGAGAGGGAGUGGCGGACGGGUGAGUAACACAUGGGUACCUGCCCUCCAGUGUGGAAUACCGGCGAGAAAUCGCUGACAAUACCACAUAGGCUCGGCAACGAGCAAAGUUUCUCGAGAGAGAGGCGCUGGAGGAGGGGCCUGUGGCCGAUUAGCUGGCUGGUGGGGUAAGAGCCUACCAGGGCGAUGAUCGGUAGCUGGUCUGAGAGGACGAGCAGCCACACUGGGAUUGAGAACGGCCCAGACUCCUACGGGAGGCAGCAGUGAGGAAUUUUCCGCAAUGGUCGCAAGACUGACGGAGCAACGCCGCGUGCAGGAGGACGGCCUUCGGGUUGUAAACUGCUUUUACCAGGGAAGAGAAUGGACGGUACCUGAGGAAGAAGCCCCGGCUCACUACGUGCCAGCAGCCGCGGUAAUACGUAGGGGGCGAGCGUUGUCCGGAAUUAUUGGGCGUAAAGCGCCCGCAGGCGGUUCGCCAGGUUUGAGGCGACAAUCACCGGCUUAACUGGUGAACGUCCUCAAAAACCGGUGGACUUGAGAGCGAGAGAGGGACACGGAACUCCGGGUGGAGUGGUGAAAUGCGUAGAUAUCCGGAAGAACACCGAUGGCGAAGGCAGUGUCCUGGCUCGUUUCUGACGCUGAUGGGCGAAAGCCAGGGGAGCGAACGGGAUUAGAUACCCCGGUAGUCCUGGCCGUAAACGAUGACCACCAGAUGCAUGAGGAUUCGACCCUUUGUGUGUCCAAGCCAACGCGCUAAGUGGUCCGCCUGGGGAGUACGGUCGCAAGACUAAAACUCAAAGGAAUUGACGGGGACCCGCACAAGCAGCGGAGCGUGUGGUUUAAUUCGAUGCGACGCGAAGAACCUUACCAGGGUUUGACAUGGAUACGCACCGUCUUGAAAGAGGCGUACCCGCAAGGGACGUAUCCACAGGUGCUGCAUGGCUGUCGUCAGCUCGUGCCGUGAGGUGUUGGGUUAAGUCCCAUAACGAGCGCAACCCCUAUCGUUCAUUGAAUGUUUUGAGCGAAACUGCCGCCACAAGGUGGAGGAAGGUGGGGAUGACGUCAAGUCAGCACGGCCCUUACAUCCUGGGCGACACACACGCUACAAUGGUCGGUACAGAGAGAGGCCAACCCGCGAGGGGGAGUGAAUCUCACAAAACCGAUCUCAGUUCGGAUGGCAGGCUGCAACUCGCCUGCCUGAAGCUGGAGUUGCUAGUAACCGUGGGUCAGCACACGACGGAGAAUACGUUCCCGGGUCUUGUACACACCGCCCGUCACACCACGAAAGUCGGCAACACCUGAAGCCGCCAGGCUAACCCGCAAGGGAGGCAAGCGUCGAGGGUGGGGUCGGUGAUUGGGGUGAAGUCGUAACAAGGUAGCCGUAAAU
rnacentral:rRNA from 1 species